rnacentral:tRNA from 8 species
UCCCCGAUAGCUCAGCUGGUAGAGCGACGGACUGUUAAUCCGCAGGUCCCAGGUUCGAGCCCUGGUCGGGGAGCCA